UAGGCCCGCUAUCAAGAGUGGCACCGGACGAGGGAGCCGUACCCGGAACGUGACAAGACGGCCUUCG
rnacentral:ncRNA from 1 species